UACGGGGGGGAGCAAGCGUUGUUCGGAUUUACUGGGCGUAAAGGGCGCGUAGGCGGCGCAACAAGUCACUUGUGAAAUCUCCGGGCUUAACUCGGAACGGUCAAGUGAUACUGUUGUGCUAGAGUGCGGAAGGGGCAACUGGAAUUCUCGGUGUAGCGGUGAAAUGCGUAGAUAUCGAGAGGAACACCUGCGGCGAAGGCGGGUUGCUGGGCCGACACUGACGCUGAUGCGCGAAAGCCAGGGGAGCAAACGGG
rnacentral:rRNA from 1 species